rnacentral:misc_RNA from 1 species
CAACCCUUAAGCUUAGCUUAGUAUUGGGAAUCUACUCUGUGCGGUGCUACCCUGUAGCUACCCUGUAGUUCUUCAAAUCUAACGGCGGAGUCGUAGUUACCUCUGAGCGCAGUAAUACUUAUCACGCUUUUGAAGGUGCUAUAAUUCUAGCCGAUAAACCCCUUUUUUAUAAUGG